GGCAGAGCCACAGGUGGGGGACGAAUCACAGGCCAGGUUACUCCAUCAUGAGGUCAUACAGGUGGCUUUAGAGUGCAUCAGAGCAGGGGCUAAACCAACUGUCAUUGAGACUGACACGACUGAGGCAUGGACGGCAGAGCUGGAUGAAAGAGUCAGAAAAUUUGAAGAGGAUUUCCGAAAGAAUGGAUUCUUAAAUUCUGAAACUGAUAAAAGUGUGGGACAGCAGUUGUUGUUACUGCAAGCUGAGGUGA